rnacentral:rRNA from 1 species
GCCACAGCACCGCAUGGUGCAGGGGUAAAAACUCCGGUGGUGUGAGAUGGGCCCGCGUCUGAUUAGGUAGUUGGUGAGGUAACGGCUCACCAAGCCGACGAUCAGUAGCCGACCUGAGAGGGUGACCGGCCACAUUGGGACUGAGACACGGCCCAAACUCCUACGGGAGGCAGCAGUGGGGAAUAUUGCACAAUGGGGGAAACCCUGAUGCAGCGACGCCGCGUGAGCGAUGAAGUAUUUCGGUAUGUAAAGCUCUAUCAGCAGGGAAGAAACUGACGGUACCUGACUAAGAAGCACCGGCUAAAUACGUGCCAGCAGCCGCGGUAAUACGUAUGGUGCAAGCGUUAUCCGGAUUUACUGGGUGUAAAGGGAGCGUAGACGGACUUGCAAGUCUGAAGUGAAAGCCCGGGGCUCAACCCCGGGACUGCUUUGGAAACUGUAGGUCUAGAGUGCUGGAGAGGUAAGUGGAAUUCCUAGUGUAGCGGUGAAAUGCGUAGAUAUUAGGAGGAACACCAGUGGCGAAGGCGGCUUACUGGACAGUAACUGACGUUGAGGCUCGAAAGCGUGGGGAGCAAACAGGAUUAGAUACCCUGGUAGUCCACGCCGUAAACGAUGACUGCUAGGUGUCGGGGAGCAAAGCUCUUCGGUGCCGCAGCUAACGCA